GAAUAUAAAUUAAGAAAUGCUCGUAUAUCAUCGGUGAUAUGGACCGAAAGUUUCUACCUGCUAACCGUAAAUAGGCAGACUACGAGGUAUUGGAUUUGAAAA
rfam:Clostridium sp. 7_2_43FAA genomic scaffold supercont2.3, whole genome shotgun sequence.